ACACACUUUUGGACUAGUCCUUCACUAAAAUAGCCCAGUGAGAAACAGUACUUUUUUUUUUUUUUUUCCUCUCAGUUGGUGACAUUGCAACCCGAAAUCACAACUCUGUUUUAGGUUCCUGGUGGUGCCUGCUUCCUCUUCUAGUUUGUUUAGUCACCGAAUUCGAUUCCUGUUGGCCGGUUACGCGCCUACAAACAGGCUUAGCGCUCUAUUGAAAUGCGUGAGGCUCCUUAACUCUUGUAUAAACAGAAAACAGCUGUAACUUUAGGUCAGGGCGCAUUAAAAUGAGCCACUUCUGAACGAGCGGCGCCCAGGCCCCAGGCCCUGCUGCGAAGGCCCCGGCAAAGGUCAGGGUUUCGGCCGCGUGACGUUCCUUCCUGCGGCCGUCCGAGCGCUGCUGUGCCUCAGCCCUGAUCUCCCUCAUGGUAAUGCUCUCCUUCCAACUCUGGUCUGUUUAGUGGGGGAAGAGGUGGUUUAUGAAAAGAUUUUUUUAAAAAGCGUCAGCUUCUGGAAAAGCAGAAAAUCCUACACAGUCAGCCCCGUCGUGUUCCUCUGCUGAUGAAACCUUUUCCAUAUCAGAAACAGAUUUUUUUUUUUUUCCACCCUUGAAAACACAUGACUGGGCCAUCCGGAGGCACAGGUGACUUUUAGAAGCAGAUGAUUAAAGUGAGGUUGAGGAAACAUUCCUGACCGGCAUCUGUCUCAUUUAAGUGUUAAGACGGGGUGGGGGGGGGGGAAUGAGGAGGGAUCUCUCCAAAGGUAACCCUGAGCGGAGGAGGCUUAGCUGCUUAAAGUUACAGAUUCAAUCUGCCUAAAAGUGUAGGGCUGAUGAAUUAUGACAGCUGACAAAUCACCAGUCACCGGGUAUUGAAGAAAUCAGUUAAAAUAAGCGAGGUGGAAUUUUUUUUUUUUUCAAAUAAAUGAUUCACUGUUUAAUUAGGUAAAAGUUCAUCUACUCUUGGAUACUGUCCCAAGACAUUUGGGGAUGUGGCUUCUUUCUUGAGGCUUAUCAGAGUGACAGAAAGAUAGUGUCCUCAAGGUACGUAGGGGCCAUCCUGGUUUUAAUGAAAAAUCAAGCAAUUUUUUUUUUCUGGUGGCCUCUGAAUGAGUCACUUUUUUGUCUUUAGCAAGAAUGCAGAUUAGAAAUGUGUUCUUUAUUUCUCCGACUUAUUUCAUUUAGCGAAAAAAAAAAUGUGUUCUUUAAAAGUUUUCAUGCUGGAGUCACACACAUUUUUCAGGGGAGAGAAAGCAAAGCGUUGACAAACCAAACAUGAAGUUUUAAGCACAGCUGCACGUAGACCAAGAGCAUUUGAGAACUGCAGGUGCCCAUUCGAUUCUAACAGGUGAAAGGUUGUCAGUGGCCAUGAGAGGCAAGAGAGAUAAGACUUUGUGGGAGUUUGUGUUGCUAUUAAUUUAAACAACGAUCUUGGUCAGAUUGGUGGUCUGGAAUCUUGGAGGGAAACAAAACCAACUCAGACUGAAAGGGAAACAGGAGGAGGAAGAGAAAGAAAUGGUUUUUGUAUCCAUUCUUGUCCGCCUUGCCCUUCAUUCAUCCUGUUCUGAUAUGGAUACCAUUGGCCUCUUCGUCUUAAUGACCACAUAUGGGAGAAUGAGGAAUCAGAAAUUUCACAAAAGCCUAGCUUCAUUAUUUAAGUUCAAGAUUUGUGAAAUGAGGAAAUAAGCAGAAGACAGCAAAGUGGUCAGCCUCCCUGUCCUGCUUCCAUACCUGACCAGGCUCUUCGUAAAUUCAUGUUUGAGAGGUUUUUUUGAGCAUAUGUGGCAAAUGAAUCAAAUUUGGAAGAUAUUUUAGCUUCCUCUUGGUUUAGGAGUUUUCUGAAACUUGUAGGAUUGAAAAUCUGGCGUCAUCAUUAUACUCCGUCCCUAUUGUUUUAAUAGUCAACAUAUUUGUUUUUCAUUCCCUCCUGCGCUGCUCUGGGCUAAAUUUUGAAAGGAUUUUGACCCAAAUGGUUGGUGACAUUGAAGAUAGACUCAAGAUGGAAAGCAAGGAAACUGCAUCUGGACCUGUGUCCUAUAGACUUGCUCUAACUCGUGUUUAAGACUACUCACUUUUUUUUUUUUUCCCCCUCACCUGAUAAGAACGUUCAGGUUAGACUGCUCACUUUGGUUUAUUAAUAAUGGAACCUGUUCUAGGUAAUGUAAACAUAGAUUAGAAGGUUAAAGUAGAUGAAAUUAUUAUUAUUAUUCUUAUUUUUACAAAAUGCGUUUGCUUUCCAAAUUCUAUUCUUGAUCUGAAGAUUAAGAUCAAGACUCCCAAAUGAUUGAGCUUUGACUGCUCUAGGAAAGUAUUCGCCUAUUUCAGGUAAGGAUUCCACCGUCACAUUUCCAGGCCCUUCUGAUUUUUCAGGAAUAGACAGGAAUAGAUACAGGGGUGCUGGUAGGACAAGAAGGGUCCCAAAAUUGGACACGAGGUUCAAGUGAAACUGAUUAGGUUUUCCCUGAGGACGCAUAAUCCUAGGGAAAAAAAAACUUACUCUGAAGAGGGCUUAAGUCUGGGAUUCAUAAGAUUUAAAAAAAAGAUGUGUUUUGCACUGAAUCUAGAAUUCAUGUGCCAGACAUUGAAGUUACAGGGAAAGACACAUGCAGCUUCAAAAGUGGUUGUCAGAGUGGUUCCAAGUUAAAGGUUAUUGGAAUGUUUCAACUGCUGGCCUGAUGAAGAGAUAUGUUUUUCCGCUUGGGAGUAGUUUCUGUGUCUUAUGAUGGUGCCGAUCUUCUGGUUUCGUGUCGUAAGAGGUACGUGUUAGUCAAACAACCACCUGCUUAGAGUAAUUGCUUCAAAGGAAACUGGAAAAAAGACUUUCAAGAAGGGCAGUGCAGGAAUGACUUGGGUUAUGAGGUAGGAGGCCCUUUACUUCUGCAAAGAACUGUCGUGAGAAUGACAAUAAGUAAUUGUUCAGUUGCCACCUGAGGUUGUUGGAAACGUCUCAGGCUAGAGGGAUUUAGGGGGAAAAUGGCGCCCUGCCACUUUUUGCGUGUGGUCUGAAACGUCCUGUCAGGAAGACUUUCCUGAGGUGGUCUGUGCUGGAUUUCUGACGGUUUCUGCUUCUCUCAUAGCUGCUUCCCCUUCAUUUCUGUCAGCAUCCGUAUGGGGGAGAAGAGACAGAGGGACAAAUAAUAAUGUCUCCCCUAGCACCCGAUGUGCCCCUUCUUUUUAGGAACUUUUAUAUUUUGUCCUGAAAAGGGGUGAGGGAGGAAUUUUCUGGUAAAAGUAGUGGGGAGAGGGUGUCUGGAGGCGUACGUGGCCGAGAAACAGGUGAAUUCCAAAUACUGUUAGUAAUGUGGAAUGCCCUGGAAAGCUCUGGGGAGAUUUAUUAAUGCCCUCAGACUGUUGAAGUGGUAACUGUAGGAUUUAGGGCUCACCCCCCACCCCCACCUUUUGUAAUUCAGAUGCUCUUUCUACUCUGUAAUAGAUGGCUAAUUCAGAAGGGUUCGAGAUAUUUUUCCUUGGUAGGACCCUCAGGAAACGGAUUACAAAAGGCAGACUCUCAACCCUGUUAACUGCCUUUUCUCUGCUUUCUGCCCUGGUUUAAGGACACCUAAAAAAAAAAAAAAAAAUCACAGCUCAGUUUAUGUAGCUUCUAUGUAUGAUAUGAGCAUUCUGUUUCGUUGUUGUGACUAUUCUGUUGGUGUCAUCGUGGGAACUUCGUUUGUGCAGAAAUGAUUCGUAGGUGUGUUUAGACGUAUGCAGUUUAUCCGUUUGUAAAAUACGAAACUUCAGUAAGCUGAUACUCCGCAAGAAUUGAGUAACAGUAGCGUACGGUUGUUCUUGGGAUAAACCCUAUCCUGUUGUAGGAGUGGAAUCAUUUUAGAAAUCAGAAGUACAAUCUCUACCUUUCUGAAGGCCAUUUAAGAGAGAUGACAUCAGGAGAGGAGGACAAAGGGCUGGCGUAACCCUGAAAACCCUCUGUGAUUUGGGCAAAGUGUCAGUCCUUUCAUCUCAGCAGAUGCCUGGGAGCACCAAGUACAUACUUGAUUUAUAAGUUACAGCCGUUCACAUUAAUCAAGAAGACUCGAGUCAUGCUGUUUGUCUUUGGGGAUACUGUACUUUUGUGGUUCUUAGGAACACGAUGGCCCAGUACCAGGAGCAAUGGUAGGUACCCCGUGUGUAUAUGUCGAACGGAACGGGAGUUGCUGAUAGUUGCAGCUUCCUCAUUGUGCUUUGCUUUGGUUAAGGGUCAGCUUGCCUCCUGUUCCUCCACCAGCUGGGGAGAAAGAGAGCGUGAUAAUUGGGUAAUCCAUACAUGGGCAAGCAGGGGUUAACUGUGUGUCCCAAUGGGCAGUGGUUGGGGUACAAUGAAUGUGGGGCAUUGUACCCUGAAGCAGGAACAGGAUGCCUCUCCACCUGACCAAGGAAAUGCCAACCUGUAAAAAUUAGAAUAAAAAUAUUUACCUUUCAGAGCGCCGAGAGCCAGCUCCAUGAUCUUUGUCUAGCAUUUCACGUUGUGCCAAAAGGAAAAAAAAAAAAGAUAUUUAAUAAAAUUAGAAUUUUUUUUCCAGGUGCUUCUUUGAGAUCAAUUUGGUUACAAUUCUGAAAAUCUUUAUUUGAGCCUUUCACGCUUAGGUCAAAUAUUCAUGUUUCUAAAAGUAAGGAUCCACGCGCAUGAUGAUAAUACUAUGAUUUUCGAAAAGAGAGCUUAAUUGAUAUUUCUUUCUGUUUGUUGUCAUUUAUUUUUAAAAAUAAUACCAUGGUCUUUGGUACAUACACCAAGGUCUUGCCAAGAUUAGGCUCAUCUUCUCAGUAGGCUUCCCAAGACAAAGUUGCCUUUGUGUGAUUGUAACAGGGAAGAUUUGGUGGCAUAGGAAACUCAAUGGGGAGUGCAACUUAUUAUUAACAGAAAAGUCAAUGGCCUGAUCUGUGCACGUGUGUGUGUGUGUGUGUGUGUGUGUUUACUCUCCCAGCCGGUAUCUAUGAUAUAUUUCUCCAUGCAGAUGAUCUCACCAUGGUAGACUUUCCCAGGGAGGAAUGUGGUGGUUAGGAAUUUUCCUUGGAGUUCAGUUAGAUUAGAGAAGACAAAAGCUGCCACAUGCUGACACAGAAGAGAGUUCAUCUCUGUGGACUAAUCUGUUCUCAAGGUGAUCAGCAAAAUUUGGGCACAUGUGGAAAGAAAGAAAAGGUGGUUAGCCAGAGUGAAAACACCAGUUUGAGGGGAAAGGGAUGACAGUGGCGCUAACUUCAAACUCCUUGGCAGAACAACUAGGAAUAUGGACUGCCUCGACUCACAUCCUGGAUGUGCCAUUUAGGAGCCAAGGGAAUUUAGGCGGUUACCUAAAAGCAAAACAAAACUAGAAAAACUCUCUCCGUGACUCAAUUUUCCUAGUUGUAAAAUGCCCACCUUACAGGGCUGUUGUAAGGAAUAACAAGAUUACUGUGUAAGCAGAGCUUGGUAUGGCGCUGGGCAUGAAGUCAACAUAAUAUGGCGCUGGGCAUGAAGUCAAUAUGGCGCUAGGCGUAAAGUCAGUAUAAUGUGGUGCAUAGUGAACGUGUUAGGUGUGUGUACCUUGUAUUUGUGAUGUAUUUCUGCAUUUGAAUUCUUAUCUCACCACCUUCCUUCACAUAAGUAUUUUCUUUCUUGACCUCUUCUGGGGGUUGGAAUCCAGGACUCCCUUCCUAACCUCAGUCUAUGGCUUUGACCAAGUGCCAGUUGCCUAUUUUGCUAAGUUACUAAGUUUGCUAAGGUGCUAUUUUGUUAAGUUGCAUUUUGUUUUUGUAUCUUAGUUGUGUGGGGAAAUGCUACUUAGAAUCCCCAAGGUACACUUUUUUCUCUCUCUAGGUAAUCGAAAGAUGUUGAUUGGAAACCAAAGGAAUAGUAACUGUUCUCUCUGUUGGUGAGAGACCAACAGGUGUCCUGCUGGAAGCUGAGUAUGGAUUCUCAGAAAUGGUGGGGCUCCUGGCUGGCUCAGUGGAUAGAGCAUGUAACUCUUGAUCUCGGGGUUGUAGGUUCAAGCUCCACAUUGGGUGUACAGGUUCCUUAAAAAAAUAAAAUCUCUAAAAAAAUAAAUUCUCAGAAAGGGCUAAUGCAAAAUAGAAAUACUCUGUGUAAAAAACCCAAAAUACAUCAGACUUAAGUAGUUACUAUUAUGACUUUCGUUGGUUAGUAUUAGCUAGUCAUAAUCAUAAUGUAUGAUAUGGGCCUUUCUUAGAACUACUGCAGUAGGGCAUCUGGGUGGCUCACUUGGUUAAGCAACUGCCUUCGGCUCGGGUCAUGAUCCUGGAGUCCCCAGAU